CAUAUAUACAAUUACACAAUAUAUCCGUGCAGCUGUCAUUAACUUUCAACAAACCAGAGUCGAAAUAAAGUGGUCUUAUAACCUAGGUAUCCUAACAAGUGUAUAAACCUCAAGUCAAAGUAGACACUUAAAGCUAUUUGACAUAAAGACAUAGAGCUCUGGUAAGUCUAAGAAUUGAUCCAAGUUUGGGAAUUUUUUUUUUAAACUACGAGGCCUCAAUUGAUUGGAGGACCUAAUGCUUUGCCUAAGCCUAAGGCCGACCCUGAUACCUUACUUUACCACAUUGCAAAGCCAAUUUAUUCAUUCUCUAUUUAUGUUAUUUUGACAUAUGUCUUGUUAGUCACAAUAAAGCUAUGUGGCCUACAUUAAAAUAAAAUACUGGCAACAGAAAAAUAAAAAUAUGUUUAUACAUUAAAGUUGCACAGUUAAAGUUUGCCAAUAGAACAGAGAACUUAACAAGUAAAAUGUUCUUAUUUAUUUUAUUAUUUUUGUGCCAAAGAAAUAUUAAAGAUUUUAUUCAUCAAUAAA